rnacentral:rRNA from 1 species
UACGUAGGGGGCGAGCGUUGUCCGGAUUCAUUGGGCGUAAAGAGCGUGUAGGCGGCCUGAAAGGUCAGCUGUGAAAACUCGAGGCUCAACCUCGAGACGUCGGUUGAAACCAUCUGGCUAGAGUCCGGAAGAGGAGUGUGGAAUUCCCGGUGUAGCGGUGAAAUGCGCAGAUAUCGGGAAGAACACCCGUGGCGAAGGCGGCACUCUGGGACGGUACUGACGCUGAGACGCGAAAGCGUGGGGAGCGAACAGG